rnacentral:rRNA from 1 species
AUUGAACGCUGGCGGCAGGCCUAACACAUGCAAGUCGAGCGGUGCGGCGGACGGGUGAGUAAUGCCUAGGAAUCUGCAUGGUAGUGGGGGAUAACGUCCGGAAACGGGCGCUAAUACCGCAUACUAUCAGAUGAGCCUAGGUCGGAUUAGCUAGUUGGUGGGGUAAAGGCCUACAAAGGCGACGAUCCGUAACUGGUCCGAGAGGAUGAUCAGUCACACUGGAACUGAGACACGGUCCAGACUCCUACGGGAGGCAGCAGUGGGGAAUAUUUGACAAUGGGCGAAAGCCUGAUCCAGCCAUGCCGCGUGUGUGAAGAAGGUCUUCGGGUUGUAAAGUACUUUCAGCGGGGAGGCGUUACCCGCAGAAGAAGCACCGGCUAACUCCGUGCCAGCAGCCGCGGUAAUUC